GCUGCCAUUGAGGAGCAUUUACUCAGUGAGUGCAAGAGGUUUGUUUGAAACAGACCGCAAUGGAGAGAUCAGCGCCCAGGGAAGCGAGGGAACAGCAGGCUCCUUCCAGCAGCACAUCGGGAUGAGAGCCUGGGACACAGAGGGGGCUCGGAGACCGGGAUUGAUUCGGGACAAAUACCUGAGGGACUAAGACACUGUGAUACUUCUUCGGUUCAAAGGGAAGUGGGACCAGCUGCCUUGAGCAAACAGCAGAGGAACAGAACAGACAUGCAGAGCUAGAAACACAUCAGCAUAACAACGAGCAAAAGGAAACCGAGCCAAUACCACAGUCACUUUCUGUAUCGCAGACACAAAACAAAUCUCCCUCAGUCAGACUGACAGGAACAGAAUCACGAGUCAAUUCACGUUUCGUAGCAAUUCCACUUUGAAUCUCACACUAACCAAUCAGAGCGACUCUAUGUUUGGGAUUGAAUCUGUGUAAACUAGCCAAUCAGUAAAAAGGCUUUCCCAUCCCUCAUUAGCAUUGAUGACGCCGUCAGUCUAUAAAGAAGGAGGUCCGAGCCAGCUUUCCCUUAUUCUGUGUCUGAAAGUGAGCAGGACGAUGGCUGAUGAGAAGAAAGCCCAGCAAACCUCCAAGAAGGGCGCGAAGAAAAUCAUUAAGAAGGCGCCAGCAAAGGGCAACAGAAAGAGGAAAAGGUCCAGGAGAGAAAGUUAUUCCAUCUACAUCUACAAAGUGAUGAAGCAGGUUCACCCCGACACCGGCAUCUCCUCCAAGGCCAUGAGCAUCAUGAACUCGUUCGUCAACGAUAUUUUCGAGCGUAUCGCGGGGGAGGCUUCCCGCCUGGCCCAUUACAACAAGCGCAGCACCAUAAGCUCCCGGGAGAUCCAGACCGCCGUGCGGCUGCUGCUGCCAGGGGAGCUGGCCAAGCACGCCGUGUCGGAGGGCACAAAGGCGGUGACCAAGUACACCAGCUCCAAGUGAAGGACCGCACUGCACUGAAACAAACACAUCCACAACCCAAAGGCUCUUAUAAGAGCCACCCACAACAUCCCUGAGACGGCUGGACCAUUUCUUUAAGAAUUGUUUGUUUUAGUUCGUGAUUAUUGAUAGAGCAAUUUAACUUCUCGCGCUAUAUGUUUGACUUAAUAAGUGCUUUUUUGCAAAUUAUUCGGGAGUGGGGUGGACGAGAGCAGAUCAGGCGCCAGUGAGUCAUUUUUAAUCUUGUUUACCCCUGGCAGAAAAAUGCCCACGUCCUUCACCCCCACAUUGAUGCAUUUUACCUUCUGAUUUACUUUACAUUUCCAAUGCGCAGGUUUGAUCCGACUUUUCGCUCUACAAAAUAACAUUUCAUGCUGUCGGUGAGAACUACCAAAGUGAACCAAGAGAACACCAACACAGCUACCGGACAGAAACGUGGAGCUUUUGCUGAAUCUGAUCGAGAUCGAUAAGGGAGAACAGCUUUAAAAUAUCGCCUGAAAAAAAACAUGUUCGCCCUCGAUGCUGAACCGGAAGAAUGCUGUGUGCUGUUUUAUCAGCAUAUCGGGGUGGGAUUGAAAUGUGAAAAGGAAAGACGGGUUGCAGACUGCGGUGUUUGACCUGUUUUGUUUCAACUGCUUCUUAAGGUUUAGAAAAUAACCCACUCUCAAGAUCAGAAAUGGACAGAUACUGAUCGGCAAAUGAGGGAGAGUAAGACCGUGUGAAGUACACAUUUGUCAACUAAAAGUGGUGUCCCUGUGUCUUCCUCCAGAAAAACACCUGAGGGACUAAGAUGCUGUAAAACUUCCUCAGUUCAAAUCACAGAGUAACCAGCUGUCUCCAACAAACGGAAGGCAAGUACUCAAAGGACCAAGACAAUGUGCAGAGCCAAGUGUGACCAGCUGCUUCGAACAAACAGCAGAUGCUGCCAGACCUACUGAGUGUCUGAGGCAAUUUUGAGAGUGUUCAUGUCAGGUCUUCAGCUGCACUCCAAUGAAGAACAAGCAUGGAUCAUGGAUGAAGAAUGGAUUACCUGGCACCGUGAGGUAGAUGGAAUUACUGGUCACAUUAGAUAUUAUUCCACUGGGACCCCUGUUGAUCACGAGACACUGGUACCAGCCUUUGUACUGGGACUGGAAGGAUUCAAUGGCCUUCUGUCCUGUCUGAGCUAGAGUUGUAAUUCCCGCUGGCAUUGUUUAAGGCUUUCUGUUGAAAGUAGGGUCCAGUACCUCGGCUCAGUACACAAUCUGAAACGAGACAACUCCCAAACAGAACCUCCAUUUUAAUGGCUCUUGGGGUGAGGAAAACCCCAGCAAUAGGAACUGAAACAAAACAAGACAAAGAGGAAAUGAAAGAAAGAUCAGACGCUGAAAUUGUCUCUCUUAUCACAAUGUUACCUUCGAUGACUGGAUAAUAAUUGAUGGAAAGAAGAAAUAAAACAAGCGAGAUUUCACAUCAUCACAAAGUCUCCCUAUGUUGUAAAAUCUACACUUUGAAAGAUUUCUGUUAACUAUGGAUGGCCAAAUGGUACAUCAGCCAACCAUGGCCUCUUGAUGUUCAAUGGUGUUACCAUCACUGUCCCCACCUCCACUCCACUAUCAACAUCCUGAAGUUUACCGUCACUGCCCCCACCCUCUUCCCAUGAACAACAUCCUGAGGGUUACUGUUGGGAAAGUUGACAUGGUUUGCCUGGAAGCCAUUUUCCUAAUCUGGCUGAGAAACCAUUUUGUGUCCCCAGAACUUUGCUGGCUGUGCAUUCCUUACUCUUAGGAAGAUAAGGCCUAUCUUUCACGUUACCUAAGGUGUCAAGUUAGUGUUUUUACCACUUUGAUGAAUGAUUAGGGCAGGCUGUAGAACGAGUCAAGUGGACAAGUCAAUUAGUCCCACUUCCUUUAUGUGUUAUCGCCACUUCACGGUCGUUCAGCGAAUUAGGGACAUCUCUGCUUCCUGUUAGUAAUCUGAGUAAAUACUUGUGGAAUGCAUAAUGGUGCUUAGUUUUGACCCUAAUGACUAACCUCUAAUUUUGUACCAAACUGUGUAAUCAACAAUCAGCCUCUGUCUGCUUUCUCUAUAUAAUCCUGUCGUAUUCAGUGCUAUCUGAAUAGCAUCGAGCAACAGUUAGGAUGUUGAA